AUUGAACGCUGGCGGCAGGCUUAACACAUGCAAGUCGAGCGGGCGAGGUUGCUUCGGUAACUGAGCUAGCGGCGGACGGGUGAGUAAUGCUUAGGAAUCUGCCUAUUAGUGGGGGACAACAUUCCGAAAGGAAUGCUAAUACCGCAUACGCCCUACGGGGGAAAGCAGGGGAUCUUCGGACCUUGCGCUAAUAGAUGAGCCUAAGUCAGAUUUGCUAGUUGGUGGGGUAAAGGCCUACCAAGGCGACGAUCUGUAGCGGGUCUGAGAGGAUGAUCCGCCACACUGGGACUGAGACACGGCCCAGACUGCUACGGGAGGCAGAAGUGGGGAAUAUUGGACAAUGGGCGGAAGCCUGAUCCAGCCAUGCCGCGUGUGUGAAGAAGGCCUUUUGGUUGUAAAGCACUUUAAGCGAGGAGGAGGCUACUUGGAUUAAUACUCUAGGAUAGUGGACGUUACUCGCAGAAUAAGCACCGGCUAACUCUGUGCCAGCCGCCGCAGUAA
rnacentral:rRNA from 1 species